AAGCACCUUCAGUAGAAAAGAAAUAGCAGUAGCACUUGGAGAUAACAGGAAACAAACAUUUAACUUUGUGGGAUGUAAAACUAAAACUUGAAGAAUAAUAUUCUUCUUCCCAAACAUCAUUGUUUCACUAAUACUCCAUCGAUCUAAAUUAAAAACUCUGAGUAAUACGAAUCACAUAUGCAUGCACUUGAUUGUUUAUGCAAAUUAAAUACAGUGUGCCUCUUAAGUUUCCUUUCCAACUUGUUGUUUGAUUGUUGUGUUGAACGCAUAGAAUCAGUUCUUCAUAUUAGAUAUUAACUAGUUCUUGAGAACAACACAUCCAGUCAACCCGUCUUGCUUUUAACCAUCUGUUUGGAC
rnacentral:lncRNA from 1 species